UAUUAAAUUUUUUAUCCAUUUGUAUCGUUAAAAACUGACAUUGGCUACAUAAUAAUUAGACGAUGACACUUGACAUGCCACAUGUAUCUCAUGUUAAUAUAUAGAGACAAGUUUUUAACAAUAAAAAUAGAUAAAUUUUUUAACA
rnacentral:pre_miRNA from 1 species